rnacentral:rRNA from 1 species
GAUGAACGCUGGCGGCGUGCCUAAUACAUGCAAGUCGAGCGAACGGACGAGAAGCUUGCUUCUCUGAUGUUAGCGGCGGACGGGUGAGUAACACGUGGAUAACCUACCUAUAAGACUGGGAUAACUUCGGGAAACCGGAGCUAAUACCGGAUGAUAUUUUGAACCGCAUGGUUCAAAAGUGAAAGACGGUCUUGCUGUCACUUAUAGAUGGAUCCGCGCUGCAUUAGCUAGUUGGUAAGGUAACGGCUUACCAAGGCAACGAUGCAUAGCCGACCUGAGAGGGGGAUCGGGCCCACCGGAACCGAGAAACGGGUCAGACUCCCAAGGGGGGGAGCAGUUGGGAAUCUUCCCAAAAGGGGGAAAACCGGACGGGGCAAAGCCGGGUGAGGGAUGAAGGGUUUCGGAUCGGAAAAACUUGUUUUUAGGGAAAAAAAAUUGUGGAAAGAAAUUGGCACAUUUUUAGGGGACCCAAAUAGAAAACCCCGGCGAAAUCAGGG